CUGGCGGUAUGCUUAACACAUGCAAGUCGAACGGUCUCUUCGGAGAUAGUGGCGGACGGGUGAGUAACGCGUAAGAAUCUACCUAUAGGUUCGGGACAACGGUUGGAAACGACUGCUAAUACCGGAUGUGCCGAGAGGUAAAAGCUUUAGUGCCUAUAGAUGAGCUUGCGUCCGAUUAGCUAGAUGGAGUGGUAACGGCACACCAUGGCGACGAUCGGUAGCUGGUCUGAGAGGAUGACCAGUCACACUGGAACUGAGACACGGUCCAGACUCCUACGGGAGUCAGCAGUGGGGAAUUUUCCGCAAUGGGCGAAAGCCUGACGGAGCAAUACCGCGUGAGGGACGAAGGUCUGUGGAUUGUAAACCUCUUUUGUUAGGGAAGAUAAUGACGGUACCUAACGAAUAAGCAUCGGCUAACUCCGUGCCAGCAGCCGCGGUAAGACGGAGGAUGCAAGCGUUAUCCGGAAUUAUUGGGCGUAAAGCGUACGUAGGCUGUUAGAUAAGUCUGUUGUCAAAGCGCGAGGCUCAACCUUGUAAAGGCAAUGGAAACUGUUUGACUAGAGAGAGAUAGGGGCAGGAGGAAUUCCAGGUGUAGCGGUGAAAUGCGUAGAUAUCUGGAAGAACACCAGUGGCGAAAGCGUCCUGCUGGAUCUCAACUGACGCUGAAGUACGAAAGCUAGGGGAGCGAAUGGGAUUAGAUACCCCAGUAGUCCUAGCCGUAAACGAUGGGUACUAGGUGUUGGUCGUAUCGACCCGAUCAGUGCCGUAGCUAACGCGUUA
rnacentral:rRNA from 1 species